CUGACCUCAAAUCAGGUAGGACUACCCGCUGAACUUAAGCAUAUCAAUAAGCGGAGGAAAAGAAACUAACAAGGAUUCCCCUAGUAACUGCGAGUGAAGCGGGAAAAGCUCAAAUUUAAAAUCUGGCGGUCUUUGGCCGUCCGAGUUGUAGUCUGGAGAAGUGCUU
rnacentral:rRNA from 1 species